rnacentral:misc_RNA from 1 species
GUGAAUGCCCUCACGGGCUCACAUUCUCUAUCCUUUACACACCUGUGCACCCUUCUGAAGCGGAGAGUUAUUAGGCAUUAGCCGAGCGCCUCCCUUCGGUUAUUAUAUCAACCUCAAACUACGUUUACUAGAAUGUAUACCGUCUUGUUGUAACGACAAGUACAAUCCAAUA